GAGUUUGAUUCUGGCUCAGGACAAACGCUGGCGGCGUGCUUAACACAUGCAAGUCGAACGAUGAAACGGAACGGAAAUUUUCGGAUGGAAGUUCUGUGGAUUAGUGGCGGACGGGUGAGUAAUGCAUGAAGAACCUGCCUUUCACAUAGGAAUAGCCUCGGGAAGCCGGGAUUAAUACCAAAUGACACUCCGAGAUCGCAUGUUUUUGGGGUUAAAGAUUUUAUCGGUGAAAGAUGGCUUCAUGUCCCAUUAGCUGGUUGGUGAGGUAACGGCUCACCAAGGCGACGAUGGGUAGCCGGCCUGAGAGGGUGAACGGCCACAUUGGAACUGAGACACGGUCCAAACUCCUACGGGAGGCAGCAGUGGGGAAUAUUGCACAAUGGAGGAAACUCUGGUGCAGCGACGCCGCGUGAGCGAUGAAGGUCUUCGGAUCGUAAAGCUCUGUCCUAAGGGACGAUAAUGACG
rnacentral:rRNA from 1 species